CUUGCUUUUGUUCCCCCUUCAAAGACUCUGAAAAAAGUUACUAUUUCUAGCAAAAUGACAGCUGCCCUAGUUAACAAAGGAGUUGACAAAGGGUAAGAAUGUGAAUGCUGAUCCUGUUGUAUCAACGUAGAUGAGAUUGCUGUUUCCUUCAGAAAACAACUUUUCCUCCUAUGGUUCUGAUCCAGGAGAAGACAGCUGCCCUUAAUUAUCUCCCUGCUUCACUUUUUCUCUGAGAAAGGAUAGAAUUAAUGCUUGAAAGGCCAAAAUGUACCCCUGGAUAUUUCCUAUCCAUCCUUGUUGACUUCAAUAGGACAGAGGAAGAAACAGUUAUUCCCAUACCCUGUGUGGGUGCUGCCUAGAACACUGAUAACUAGUGCAAUCAGUCCUUGUCCUUCAAUACAGUGAGAAUAUGGAUGAAUGCCAACCCUUUUGUAAGUC
rnacentral:lncRNA from 1 species